rnacentral:miRNA from 1 species
AUGCAUGUGCACACAUGUGUGUAUGGGUAUGUUUGUAUAUACCUAAGUACACAUACACACACACACACACACACACACACACACACACACAC